rnacentral:rRNA from 1 species
CACGGAGUUAGCCGAUGCUUUUUCUUCGGAUACACGCAGUCCGGGACACGUCCCGGGUUUUGUUCUCCGACAAAAGAGGUUUACAACCCAUAGGGCCGCCUUCCCUCACGCGGCUUGGCUGGUUCAGGAUCUCUCCCAUUGACCAAUAUUCCUCACUGCUGCCUCCCGUAGGAGUCUGGUCCGUGUCUCAGUACCAGUGUGGGGGACCUUCCUCUCAGAACCCCUACGCAUCGUCGCCACGGUGGGCCGUUACCCCGCCGUCAAGCUAAUGCGCCGCAUGCCCAUCCUCUUCCGAUGAAUCUUUCCUCGAUCUCGGAUGCCCGAAACCGAUAUACGCGGGAUUAGCCUCCCUUUCGGAAGGUUGUCCCCCUGAAGAGGGCAGGUUGCAUACGUGUUACUCACCCGUGCGCCGGUCGCCGGCAAGGAAAGCAAGCUUUCCUCCCGAUGCCCCUCGACUUGCAUGUGUUAAGCCUGCCGCUAGCGUUCAUCCUGAGCCAGGAUCAAACUCU